rnacentral:rRNA from 1 species
UACGUAGGGUGCAAGCGUUGUCCGGAAUUAUUGGGCGUAAAGAGCUCGUAGGCGGUUUGUCGCGUCUGCUGUGAAAUCCCGAGGCUCAACCUCGGGCCCGCAGUGGGUACGGGCAGACUAGAGUGCGGUAGGGGAGAUUGGAAUUCCUGGUGUAGCGGUGAAAUGCGCAGAUAUCAGGAGGAACACCGGUGGCGAAGGCGGAUCUCUGGGCCAUUACUGACGCUGAGGAGCGAAAGCGUGGGGAGCGAACAGG